UUGAAGAGGUGAGGAAAUAAACAGCAACUGACAGCUUUGAUCACUGACAGCCAGAGAUCCAUUCAGCCCAGAAAGUACUGUAGUGUAAGAAUCAGAAAAAGGUUUCACAGAGCAAGAAAAUAACGACCGUGCAAAUGAUGAUGUCCAAUCCCUGAGAUAGUACUGAAUAAACUCUGCCAGAGAUGAGUCACCUGUCAGAGACAUGAAAUGAUGCUGAAGAACCUUCUCAGGACUUCAGAACGGAUAGUUUCGCAUAGAUGGCAGGAGACUUCGUGGAUGUGGUUUGGAGAAUGCAGCAAGAACACAAAUAAUCCCCCUUCUCGAAAGACCUUCAGAGUAACCGUCCAUCAGAG